GAGUUUGAUCCUGGCUCAGGACGAACGCUGGCGGCGUGCUUAACACAUGCAAGUCGAGCGAUGAAGCUUCCUUCGGGAAGUGGAUUAGCGGCGGACGGGUGAGUAACACGUGGGCAACCUGCCUCAAAGAGGGGAAUAGCCCUCCGAAAGGAGGAUUAAUACCGCAUAAAGUUAGAGUUUCGCAUGAAACUUUAACCAAAGGAGUAAUCUGCUUUGAGAUGGGCCCGCGUCCCAUUAGCUAGUUGGUAAGGUAAUGGCUUACCAAGGCAACGAUGGGUAGCCGACCUGAGAGGGUGAUCGGCCACAUUGGAACUGAGACACGGUCCAGACUCCUACGGGAGGCAGCAGUGGGGAAUAUUGCGCAAUGGGGGAAACCCUGCCGCAGCAACGCCGCGUGGGUGAUGAAGGUUUUCGGAUCGUAAAACCCUGUUUUCUGGGACGAUAAUGACGGUACCGGAAGAGGAAGCCACGGCUAACUACGUGCCUGCAGCCGCGGUAAUAC
rnacentral:rRNA from 1 species